rnacentral:rRNA from 1 species
AUUGAACGCUGGCGGCAGGCUUAACACAUGCAAGUCGAACGAGUGGCGGACGGGUGAGUAAUGCUUGGGAAUCUGGCUUAUGGAGGGGGAUAACUACUGGAAACUGUCGCUAAUACCGCAUACCAUAGGAUGAGCCCAGCGGGGAUUAGCUAGUUGGUGGGGUAAUGGCCGACCAAGGCGACGAUCCCUAGCUGUUCUGAGAGGAUGACCAGCCACACCGGGACUGAGACACGGUCCGGACUCCUACGGGAGGCAGCAGUGGGGAAUAUUGCGCAAUGGGGGCAACCUGACGCAGCCAUGCCGCGUGAAUGAAGAAGGCCUUCGGGUUGUAAAGUUCUUUCGGUGACGAGGCGUUAAUCACAGAAGAAGCACCGGCUAACUCCGUGCCAGCAGCCGCGGUAAUUC